rnacentral:lncRNA from 1 species
GUUGGACGUGAUGACCUUUCAGGGUCCCUUCCAACUCAAAGGAUCCUAUGGGCACAGCACGUGUCUUAAGAAGGAUCUGUUGUAGGAACAAGAAGUGUGUUCUGCUCCAAAAAUCUCUCUGAAACCAGAGCUGACUUGGUUAAGCUCCAAUCACCUUCCUGUGAACGUGGCAAAUGGAAACCUCAUCUGCAGUGUGGGACCAUCCAGGAGAGGGGUCUAACUAGCAGAAGGAGUGGCUGCAGUGCAUGCUGUGCCUUUAAUGCACUCCUCAACACAGCACCCAAAAAAUCCAAGUGUGGAAACUGUCAGAAUAACUGUUGUGUGGCCAUUUAACAACUAUCUGCUAAAACAUGGAGGUCAUUCUGUGCAGUGUAGACAACUUGAAAAUGUCCCCCUCUUAAUAACACUUGGACUCAUCACAUCCACUGCGGAGGCACCGGGGAGCUCCAGGAUAACAUCAUUACAUCACAGCAGUAUUAUAGGAAGGACAAAGGAUAUGUACAUCUGCAGGCAACAUAGAAUAAAAGGAUUUUCUUCCAAACAGCAACCAGAAGCUUAAAAGGAG